CCAAUUAAUGUUUGAUUAAACAUUAAUCAAACAAAAUUAAAACAUGGGUAAAAAAAAAAAAACAUCGCAAAGUCGGUUUUAAAUAAGCACCCUGAAACGAAAGCAUGGAAGAGCACCUUCAGUUGAUACUGUAGCUGAAAUAAUAUUAUUGGCGAAACAGAUUUAGCAAACGCUCCAUAGUGUUUCUGAGUUUGAGAGAUGCAGCCAAUCAGAGAUGUUUGUUGAUCUCUUGAACGCAAUGGCUAAUCAGAAGUGUGUACACCGCAACGCCGAAGUUUUGUUCAGUGUUGAGUUAUGCUCGCUCCCGUGAAUCAUUAACAAAGAACGACAAGAUGCGCAGCAGAUCAUGUGCUACACAACCUCGGACCGUACGAAGUCGCCGAGAUGAGGACAUGCAGAGUCCAAGGCUGAAGAAAAAUGUGACCAUCACUUACCCACUGGAAUUGAGCAGGAGGAAACUGGCAUCAUUGUUAUCAAAUGAUUAACCAACAUGAAUGAUGCUUCUGAGGAAGUGCGUUGCUCUUUGAAGUGAGGAAGGAAGGUUGAGAGAGCUCUCUCCAGCACAUGCCUCCCUCAUUAGUGUCCAGCAGCUGAAGACUCGAGGUCACAAACCCAAUGAGCUGCCCAUUUCAUUCAGCUUUGCCGACAUGGAAAGAUGACCACUGUGACCUAAUGUUGCAGUACAGUCUGACAGCACAUUGUACACAACAUACAAAGUAGCUUGAAUAACCCUUGAAUCUUGUGUGGAGUGCAUUAUUUUUUAUGAAAUUGCUGUAGUGUCCAACUUUUCAGCAUGCUUGUAGAUUUUAUUCAUUCAAUAAAUUGUGCAUUUUUCUAAAAAAAAGGGAACAGGUCUUGUGAUUUAUUUGCUGAACUGUGGGUGAUGAAAUAUUUAAUAUCCUGGGUAUUAAAAUGAUCAGUCUCGGAUCUAUUGAGAGGGUUGACAUGGUUGAAUCAGUACCACACUAA